UCUCUCCAAGAACACAACCCUCCCUCAAUACAUACAUUCUGAAAUAUUGAUUGUAAUGUAUCAUUUAACAGGUGAGUUUCACUUAAUCGACGUAAAAAGAGCAGCAACAGAUAGCAGAGUCCAGACCAAAUUACGAAGAACAGAGCACUGAAAACGUACGGGAAUUCCCAGUGCCUACAGAGGAACAGUGAGAAGACUCUUCCAAACAGGAAGCAGAAACAAAUCCGGUGAAAACCUGGAAUGGCAGAGGAGGCACACCAUGGCAUUUGUUCCAGACAUCACCGUGCCAUUUUAUGGGAGGGACUGCGUGUCUUUGGCGGAGACCUUCAGCCUGCAGAAAAGACAACUGGUUACCGCGCAUUGUCAAAGCCUCAGGUGAAGUAGAAGUUCCUGUGAUGAGGGGAAUGGAGCUCACAGAUCCUAAAGUUCUAGCGAGCACCGCGGGAUGCCCCCGCCAGCCCAUGCACCGCGCCAUUCCGAACGCCCGCAUUUGUUCAGUUCACCUCCAGGGGAAGCAACAGCCAUCAGCCAGCGGGGACGUGCUCCUCAAUUUCAUCAGAGACAAAGAACUCUACCUCUUCUCUGUCGCCAGCGCCUCGGCAACACUGCACUCCAAGCUGUAGUCUGAGACUGUGGAGGAAGAGCCAGUGUGGAGAGAGUCUUACCGAAAGGCAAGCUGGGGAACAUCUAUCCACUGACAUCGCCAGUAGGACGUGGGAUCCGUCUGCUCCACGCGGUGCCCUCCAGCGCACUGUGGUACAGACCUGUGCCCAUGGGGCCCUGGCCCCUCUGAACAGCGCGUCCCCAGUGAGGUUUGAAUUAUAUGUAGAUCAGCGUCUGCCUGCUGCCACCACCUCUCCCUCCCUCUGGAUCCAGAAGAGGACUGUGCGGCAGUGUUCUUCUCGUCCCCUAUUAAGAGCAUCCACAGAAGAAACGUCUCUUUGGUUUAGCGUUAAGGAAACUUGGGGUUUUAUGCCACAGACACCUCACAUCUCCACUGUCACGGUUUUCUCUUCACUUUCGCUGCUAAGAACAUAUGAGCUAAAUUUGCGAACUACCUCUACCAAUUGUCCAAACAUGAGCACAUAUAUAUCAGAGGUAUUUUGUCUUGACUUUAUUUUUUCCCUUCCCAUGCUUUUUUUUAAACUCGGAAUUAUUCAACCACUUUUUCUAUUGGGGUGAUUGGGAUGCGUACCUUAAGUCUGCUUUGGAACAAUGCAGGAUAUGAAUUAACAGACCAUAAGCCACGUCUGGCAGUGCAAACCUGUAACCCUAGCUACUAAGGAGGCUGAGGCAGGAGGAUUGCAUGUUCAAGGUCAGCCUGGGCAAGUUGCUGAGGCCCAAAAUAAAAAAUAAAAAAGGCUGGGGAUGUCGCUCAGUGGUAGCAUGCUUUUCUAACUCAAUCCCUGGGCUCAGUUCCCAGCAGUGCAAAAAAGAAAAAAAAAGUUAAACAAGAUAGGCUUUCUUCAGCUUUGUGAAUCCACACAGAACGAAGAAUAUCUUUUACCACCUCCUUAAUUACUGUUGCUGUGAGUGCCAGAAUCACACGAGAUGGGGAAAGAAGUGACAGAAGGGGUGGGAGCCAGAAGGGAAGGUAGGAAGUCUCACUCUCGGUAGCAAAGAAGAAAGUGAGUUUCUAUGGCUACGGGGUCACUUCUGAGGAAAGUUAAGGGCUGCAAGUUGGGAACUGCUUGAACUAAAUCCGAAGGUUACCCUGAAGAGCCCGACACACCCAGUUUGUACAAUAUGAGCAUGUCAUUGCCAGGAGACAUAUUUAUGAAGUAGGUUUGUUCAUAAUAUCGCAUAACUAAUUAAUACAUCACCAUUUGGCCCACACACAUAUGCAGUUCUAAAAAUUAUCCCAAACCUGUUACUAUACUUUCCACAAAUACAAUUAAGAAAGCAGCUUGAUUAAAAAACAAAACACGUGAACAAUGCAGAAAAAUUGCUUUGGGUAAGUCCCAUGGUGGUACCUUCAAUCAAAAGUAGCCAUAUAGCUGCAAUCUAUGGAGACUUGAAUGUUUUUCUUUUUAAUUAAAAAUUUUUUUUUGUCUUUUUCAGGCAGUGUCUCGCUAUGCAGUUCAGGCUAGCCUUCAACUCACUUUGUAGCCCAGGCUGGCCUUGAACUCAAAGCAAUCUUCCUGCCUCAGCUUCCCAAAUACUGGCAUUACAUGUGUGCAACACCGCUGUUUAAUGUAGGAACCAUGGUGAUCAGAUCAUUAGAAGCCACUUUGAUGCAGUGUGCAUAUUCCUGUGUAGCUGGCAUUUGUCCAUGUGGCAUAGCUCACAGGAGGGAAGAUGUUACAUCAGAAUGUUUAGAAAGCUCUCGGCACCCAUAUUGUUUUAGUGUGGGGUCUGAGGGCUGGCAGGCACCUUGACACCUCACACUCCUCAGCACAUACAUUGCCUCCCUUCUUUCUCUGAAUCUCCCUCAUCAGGACCCUCUUCUCAGGUAGGAAACAAACCUCUCAAGACUUGUUAUCAUAAACAGUAUUAUUAGUACUCAUGUUGUGCUUAUAAACUACAGUGUACUUACAAACAGAGACCUAGGGAAAAAAAAUUAACUACUUUAAAAAAAAAGAAAUCAAGACUAGGUCACACAACUUAAGUGAAAACUUCCCUACCCUUGAUAAAUGGCAAGUGCAACAAAAAGUUAAUCUGGGGUCUUUGGACAAUUACCUCAUAUGUAGAGGCUUUAACAACGUGAAUAUUUUCAUGUUAAAAUUAUCUCUUCAUGGUGCGUCCUUCAUGGGGCAUUCAAAGUCGUUUCCCUCCUAAUCCUACAGCUCCAGUGACAUGAUUCAAUCCGCUUCUCCAAUCACAACACAAGAGAUGCACUACAAGUUUGAAUUUCACAUCACAAUCAGUUUUAGUCCUGUUAUUUGCCGAAGUCUGGAAUGUGUUGCAUUCGUUUGUGGAAUAAACAUAUAUAUGUCACUUGUGGGAUAUAUUAUAUAUGCACACACACGUGUAUGUGUACGUAUUUGACUCCCCCUGUCAUUUUAGAGUCAAUACUUCUGGCACUUAGGAGGUUUUCCCUUCUCCUCCUAAGCAGUGUGCUUUAU
ensembl:lincRNA